rnacentral:rRNA from 1 species
GUGGAGCAUGUGGCUUAAUUUGACUCACGCGGGGAAUCUUACUAGGUCCGGACCGAUUCUAUGAUCGUCGUACUGUGGGGUGCUACGUGAUUACUGGAUGAGUGGUGCAUGGCCGUUCUUAGUUCGUGGUGUUAAUUGUCUACUUAAUUGUCAUCAGUUUAAUACAUGUAUUGAACUAUGAACGAACGAGAUCGAGACCCGUGGUUGCGUGDGUUUGAAUUCGGUAUUACUACGGGGAUCGCGUAUUACUCCACGGUACGAUCGAAAGACUCGGCAAUAACAGGUCUGUGAUGCCCUCAGAUGUUCUAGGCUGCACACGUGCUACAGUGUGGUUCUGUUCAUAUGUGUAUGCGUAGACUUGAGAWCCCCCGCACCGAGUCAUAAUUGGUCACACGGUUGGACUCACCGAUUGUCAAUUAUUCUGUAUCUUAA